rnacentral:rRNA from 1 species
CUCAGCGGCGAUAGCACGUUGAAUUCACCCAAUGAAUCACCAUAGUUAAGCAAUGUUGCGCGUGGUUGGUAUCUGAAUGUGUGCCCAUCUUGACUAUCUCGUGCAGCUGACU